GAUGAACGCUGGCGGCGUGCCUAAUACAUGCAAGUCGAACGCAUUGAGAGAAGUGCUUGCACUUUUCAAUUUGAGUGGCGAACGGGUGAGUAACACGUGGGCAACCUACCUGAUAGCGGGGGAUAACGAGUGGAAACAUUCGCUAAUACCGCAUAACAAUAGAGAAGGCAUCUUCUUUAUUUAAAAGGCGCUUUCAAGCGUCACUAUCAGAUGGGCCCGCGGUGCAUUAGUUAGUUGGUGGGGUGAGGGCCUACCAAGACGAUGAUGCAUAGCCGAGUUGAGAGACUGAUCGGCCACAUUGGGACUGAGACACGGACCAAACUCCUACGGGAGGCUGCAGUAGGGAAUCUUCCACAAUGGACGAAAGUCUGAUGGAGCAACGCCGCGUGUGUGAUGAAGGCUUUCGGGUCGUAAAGCACUGUUGUAUGGGAAGAAAUGCUAGGCUAAGAAAUGAGCUUAGUUUGACGGUACCAUACCAGAAAGGGACGGCUAAAUACGUGCCAGCCGCCGCGGUAA
rnacentral:rRNA from 1 species